ACCAGGAAGCCAAUUAUUGGUCAAAUUUUGUAUUUCCAGAGCUCAAGACUUUUUGGUAAUUCUCCAAGGUCCACCAUAUUUUAUGAUAAAUCUCAUUCAAUUUCCCGUGUAGGGUGGCAAGCUUUAUUGCUUAACAAACAUUGCAUCUACCCUGCCAUAAUUUAUAUCUGAAUGGGUUUAUUAUAGGCGUUGCGUUUCAUUCAUUGUGCAGCUAAUUCCAUAACAUGCUUCCUGCUUUCUGUGUGGCUGUUUGGCCAUUAUCAGCUUCCAAGACAAUUGAAUCUUUCCCUUGCAGUUUCACAAAAUGGUUUAUGAAUAUGUAAUACAA
rnacentral:lncRNA from 1 species